rnacentral:piRNA from 1 species
UGGCAUUGGUUCAUGAGUGCUGUGGUUGU